rnacentral:rRNA from 1 species
AGUGAACGCUGGCGGCGUGCCUAAUACAUGCAAGUCGAACGGAGUGGCGCACGGGUGAGUAAUAUAUAGUUAAUUCGCCCUACACAGAGGUACAACAGAUGGAAACGACUGCUAAUACCUCAUAGUGUAGGAUGAGACUAUAUAGUAGCAUCUAGUUGGGAAGGUAAUGGCUUACCAAGACUAUGACGCGUAACUGGUCUGAGAGGAUGAUCAGUCACCUUGGAACUGAGACACGGUCCAAACACCUUCCGUAGGCAGCAGUAUGGAAUAAUGCGCAAAGGGGGAAGACCUGACGCAGCAACGCCGAGUGGAGUGUGACCCUUUUCGGGGCGUAGACUCCUUUUAUCAGGAAUGCGGUUCCUGAUGAAUAAGCACCGGCUAACUCCGUGCCAGCAGCCGCGGUAAUAC